UUAGGGGGUUUCCGCCCCUUAGUGCUGCAGCUAACGCAUUAAGCACUCCGCCUGGGGAGUACGACCGCAAGGUUGAAACUCAAAGGAAUUGACGGGGGCCCGCACAAGCGGUGGAGCAUGUGGUUUAAUUCGAAGCAACGCGAAGAACCUUACCAGGUCUUGACAUCCUUUGACCACUCUGGAGACAGAGCUUUCCCUUCGGGGACAAAGUGACAGGUGGUGCAUGGUUGUCGUCAGCUCGUGUCGUGAGAUGUUGGGUUAAGUCCCGCAACGAGCGCAACCCUUGAUUUUAGUUGCCAGCAUUUAGUUGGGCACUCUAAAGUGACUGCCGGUGCAAGCCGGAGGAAGGUGGGGAUGACGUCAAAUCAUCAUGCCCCUUAUGACCUGGGCUACACACGUGCUACAAUGGAUAGUACAAAGGGUCGCGAAGCCGCGAGGUGGAGCUAAUCCCAUAAAACUAUUCUCAGUUCGGAUUGUAGGCUGCAACUCGCCUACAU
rnacentral:rRNA from 1 species